rnacentral:rRNA from 1 species
UGAGCAAUCUGCCCUUCUCAUCGGAAUUAAGCGUUGGAAACGACGUCUAAUGCCGAAUACGACCUCCUUUCGCAUGAUCGGAGGUGGAAAGCUCCGGCGGUGAAGGAUGAGCUCGCGGCCUAUCAGCUUUGUUGGUGAGGUAACGGCUCACCAAGGCUUCGGACGGGUAGCCGGCCUGGAGGAGGGCGACCGGCCAUACGUGGGACUGAGAUACCGGCCCAGACCUCCGUACGGGAGCAG